rnacentral:rRNA from 1 species
AGUGAACGCUGGCGGUAGGCCUAACACAUGCAAGUCGAACGGCAGCACAGUAAGAGCUUGCUCUUACGGGUGGCGAGUGGCGGACGGGUGAGGAAUACAUCGGAAUCUACUUUUUCGUGGGGGAUCACGUAGGGAAACUUACGCUAAUACCGCAUACGACCUACGGGUGAAAGCAGUGGAUCUUCGGACCUUGCGCGAUUGAAUGAGCCGAUGUCGGAUUAGCUAGUUGGCGGGGUAAAGGCCCACCAAGGCGCCGAUCCGUAGCUGGUCUGAGAGGAUGGUCAGCCACACUGGAACUGAGACACGGUCCAGACUCCUACGGGAGGCAGCAGUGGGGAAUAUUGGACAAUGGGCGCAAGCAUGAUCCAGCCAUACCGCGUGUGUGAAGAAGGCCUUCGGGUUGUAAAGCCCUUUUGUUGGGAAAGAAAAGCAGCAGGUUAAUACCCCGCUGUUCUGACGGUACCCAAAGAAUAAGCACCGGCUAACUUCGUG